GGGGUGGGGGCAGUUUGUGGAGGUGGAGUGCUGGCUGGCACAAAGUGGGUGAGCUGCUGAAGGUGGGGACUUUGUCAAGCACAGCCUCAUGGAGACAGCACCUCAGCGAUGUGCAGAGCAGCUCACAGUGAGUUCUUUGGGGAGCACAACCACAGCCUUGGUGUCCAACCUAAAGCUGACAUCAUGUCAAGUGAAUCCCACAGGACCCUGGUUUGAUAACCGGUGGCAGAUAGAUCUGCUCAAUGCCUCUCGAGGGUAGGCUCAUUCAAAUAAAUAGAUUACGAUUUUUCAGCAUUGGAAACCUGGCCAAUUUAACAACAUGGAAGACUCGUGUGGGUUGCAACAAAAUCAGACUUAAGGCUUGGAACCAUGAAGCUGUUUCAGAAGAUUUACCAUGAUGUACGUUUUCCACUUAGAGCAGCACAGACUUACAGCUCCCACCAUGGCUUUUGUUAGCAUUAAAUAACUGUGUUGGUUCACUGCUUUGGUCACUGCCAUCACAAUGAGAACAGCGGAGAUUUGAGGCUGGGGUGGAUUGUUGUCCUCAAUCAACAAGUUACCACCUUCAGAAACUCCCAUUUUUGACAUCGUAUCUCACUCAAUGUCACAGUAAAUUGCAUGAUUGAUGUCCUGGUCUGUUUAUCAAGGAACUCAUGCAUUCCCUUUCUAAAAUCAAUAUUUAAGAAUAAAAUAGCCCUAUGAUAAUUUAUUUUAUCAAUGUAACUACAGAAUCCCGCUUGCUGUUGCACCUGAAGAAUUAACUCUUCACAGAUUAACAAAAAGGCAGGAUUGAUGUAAGUGACACCAGGCUUGGCUGGCUCAGCAUUACUCAGAUUGGCUUUCCUCGUGCAAGAAACAGGGCAAAAAUUAAACUAGUGACUUCUGCUGAGCAGUGUACAAAAUGAAAGCCAAAGACAUGGGGGGUGAGUUACUGUAGAGACCAGGAAAAGUACGUUUUCCACUUGGUUCUCCAGCCUGUGCUGAUUUCAGCCAUGGCAGUGUAUUUUCCUUUUUCUUGAUGGAAGAGCUAAAAUGUUCUUCACUACCUUUAAUGCUAAAGAAACAGCAAUUGGAGUUCAAGUUGCAGUGUGUUUGAAAAGAGCAUGAGUAACAUUUGAAUUUUUAUUUGGACCUAUUUUACCUCAUCCCUGCAGAGCUGAGGGGUCAGAAGUACAUCAGGAGCACUGGACAUCCCUCUGCUCAAAGGAGUCAGCCCUGCCAGUCACUUCACUCGAGGUGUAAAUAUUUUUGGGGGAACUUUCUAGCUGUUUACCCAGUUCUCCUCGUCUGCUUGCAUAAAUUUGUGGUGGCAGCUGGAGCAGUUGAUGAGUUGCUGGUGUUUGUUCUGCCCUUGGGCUGGAGCAGAGCACUGCUCAGAGGGUUCUGCCAACAGCACAGAAACUUCUGUCAGCACCAAUGGCUCUUGAAAAGGAUUAAUUUCUUGUGCUGAGCUCUUCUGUUUUCCCAGGUUUAAUACAAAAUUGAAUCCAUCUGAUGAUAACAUGUUGCUAUGACCUCAUUCUAAGGAAGGUAUAAUUUUAUUAGGAUUCAUUAUUACAGUAUUUAUUUUUCAAUCCCUGUCUGAAUGAUGUAAAUUGAAAGCACUCUCUUCUAAUUUGCUCCCAGUCACAAGACAAAUCCUGAGUGAUCAAAGGGCAUUUAAGUGCAAGUACAACUGCUGAAGGCAUCAGCUUAUUUUCAGAACCAGUGUGGAAGCACAAAUACGUACAAGUAGUAAAACUCCCUUGAUGCAGGAACAUUCUCAUAUUCUUAUAUUUUCUUUACUGUGCUAUCCUCAGCUUUUUUCUGAUCUCACUUGUGAUUUUAGCAAAAGCACUUCCCCCAGGUACGAUUUGGAAAAGACAAAAUUCUGUGCAAGGCUGCUUCUAAGUUAGACCAGAACUUAAUCACUGACCUGAAUAAAAUCACGAGAGUCACAAUGUCCUCCAACCUUUUCUUCCCUGAAUUUAAAUUCUUAACUGAAUUUAACUUAAAGGGGCUUCAAUUAUAUACUUGAUUUUACAUUUUAACUAUACUAGAUUAAACAUUUUAACUGUAGGUCAGUGGGUUCAUACAGAGUGCUACCUCACCACAGCAGCACAGUUAUUGUUCUCAGUAAAUGAGAUUUGAGAAAUAUGCUUGUCAUUGAUACGUGGUUAGGAUGUCACAGUCAUCUAAGCUGCAGAUGCUAAGGACUUUUGUUUAAGCUGUGACUUCUUUUGCAGAAAUAAAUAGAUUUGAGGUGUUCCAAUACGUCCUCAUUUUGGAUAUUUCCCAAGUGCCUGUCAGCUCAGAGUCAACCUGUGACAAAAUAAAGCAGAACUUUUAUUGAAAACAAA